rnacentral:rRNA from 1 species
UAAUAAGUCUGUUGUUAAAGANUAGGGGCUCAACCCUAGAAAAGCAAUGGAAACUACUAGACUAGAGUAUGGCAGGGGUAGAGGGAAUUUCUAGUGUAGCGGUGAAAUGCGUAGAUAUUAGAAAGAACACCGGUGGCGAAAGCGCUCUACUGGACCAUUACUGACACUCAGAGGCGAAAGCUAGGGUAGCAAAAGGGAUUAGAUACCCCUGUAGUCCUAGCCGUAAACGAUGGAUACUACAUGUUGUGCAUUAUGUACAGUAUGGUAGCUAACGCGUUAAGUAUCCCGCCUGGGGAGUACGCUCGCAAGGGUGAAACUCAAAGGAAUUGACGGGGGCCCGCACAAGCGGUGGAGCAUGUGGUUUAAUUCGAUGCAACGCGAAGAACCUUACCAGGACUUGACAUACUACAAAUUCUUUUGAGAAAAAGAAGUGCCUUCGGGAAUGUAGAUACAGGUGGUGCAUGGCUGUCGUCAGCUCGUGUCGUGAGAUGUUGGGUUAAGUCCCGCAACGAGCGCAACCCUUAUUUUUAGUUACCAAUUCGUUGGGUUCUCUAGAAAGACUGCCGGUGACAAACCGGAGGAAGGUGAGGAUGACGUCAAGUCAGCAUGCCCCUUAUGUCCUGGGCUACACACGUGCUACAAUGGUUAAGACAAAGAGUCGCGAGCUCGUAAGAGUCAGCUAAUCUCAUAAACUUAGCCCAAGUUCAGAUUGUAGGCUGCAACUCGCCUGCAUGAAGUUGGAAUCGCUAGUAAUCGCUGGUCAGCCAUACAGCGGUGAAUCCGUUCCCGGGCCUUGUACACACCGCCCGUCACACCAUGGGAGCUGGUCAUACCCGAUACCGUUUGCUUAACCGUUUGGAGAGCGACGUCUAAGGUAGGGCUAGUGACUGGGGUGAAGUCGUAACAAGGUAA